rnacentral:rRNA from 1 species
CCAGUAGUUGAUUCUGGCUCAGAACGAACGCUGGCGCGUAGCAUAACACAUGCAAGUCGAACGAGGGCUUCGGCCCUAGUGGCGCACGGGUGACCAUAAUGUGGGAACCUGCCUCAUGGUUCGGGACCAUGUCUGGAAACGGACCGUAGUAGUGAAUAGUCCUUCGGGAGCGUGCUCGCCAUGAGAGGGGCCCGCGUCCGAUUAGCGUGUAGUUGGCGGGGUAACGGCCCACCAAGCCGACGAUCGGUAGCUGGUCUGAGAGGAUGAUCAGCCACACUGGGACUGAGACACGGCCCAGACUCCUACGGCAGUAGGCAGCAGUGGGGAAUAUUGGACAAUGGGGGCAACCCUCCAGCAAUGCCGCGUGAGCGAUGAAGGCCUUCGGGUUGUAAAGCUCUUUCGCACAGGACGAUGAUGACGGUAGCGUGAGAAGAAGCCCCGGCUAACUUCGUGCCAGCAGCCGUGGUAAUACGAAGGGGGCUAGCGUUGUUCGGAAUUACUGGGCGUAAAGGGCGCGUAGGCGGCCCGUUCACCCAGAAGUGAAAGCCCCGGGCUCAACCUGGGAAUGGCUUUUGAUACUGGCGGGCUUGAGUUCCGGAGCCGAUGGUGGAAUUCCCACGUGAUAGGUGAAAUUCGUAGAUAUUGGGAAGAACACCGGUGGCGAAGACGGCCAUCUGGACGGACACUGACGCUGAGGCGCGAAAGCGUGGGGAGCAAACAGGAUUAGAUACCCUGGUAGUCCACCUCGUAAACGAUGAAUGCUAGACGCUGGGGUGCAUGCACUUCGGUGUCGCCGCUAGCGCAUUAAGCAUUCCGCCUGGGGAGUACGGCCGCAAGGUUAAAACUCACAGUGAUGAUUGACGGGGGCCCGCACAAGCGCGUAAUGUGGUUUAAUUCGAAGCAACGCGCAGAACCUUACCAACCCUUGACAUGGCCGUCGUCGGCGGGAGAGAUCCUGCUUUCAGUUCGGCUGGGUACCGCACACGUGGCU